rnacentral:miRNA from 3 species
UAGCAGCACAUCAUGUUUUGC